ACCUGGUUGAUCCUGCCAGUGGUCAUAUGCUCGUCUCAAAGAUUAAGCCAUGCAUGUCUAAGUUCAUAUCAUUUAAAUGAUGAAACUGCGAAGCGCUCAGUAAAUCAGUUAUCGUCUGUUCGAUCGAUACAUGCCAUGGAUAACUGUGGCAAACCUAGAGCUAAUACAUGCAAAAUUCUUUGUUUCGGCAAAGAAGCAUUUAUCCAGCUAAACCAAUCGGGCCUUAAAACCCAGUAGGUGAAUCUAGAUAACUGUGCCGAUCGUUGCUUUAUGCGGCGAUAUUUCGAUUGAGUUUCUGCCCUAUCAACUUGUUGGUAUGGUAUUGGCCUACCAAGGUUUUGACGGGUAACGGGGAAUCAGGGUUCGAUUCCGGAGAGGGAGCCUGAGAAACGGCUACCACUUCUAAGGAAGGCAGCAGGCGCGCAAAUUACCCAAUCCAGACAUUGGGAGGUAGUGACGAGAAAUACCGGACUGGAUCUUACGAUCCAGUACUGGAAUGAACGAUAUGUAAUCAUUUCGAUGAGGAUCUACUGGAGGGCAAGUCUGGUGCCAGCAGCCGCGGUAAUUCCAGCUCCAGUAGUGUAUAUCAACAUUGUUGCGGUUAAAACGCUCGUAGUUGGAUAACGAGGGUAAAAUAAUUAUAUGAGCAAAUGCUCAUUGAUUAUUUUGCUCUUUUUAUUACAAGGGUCAAUACUUUGCUUAAUUGAAUUGUAUUGAAUACUUGUAUAGCGUGCCUUGAAUAAAGCACAGUGCUCAAAGCAAGCGUAACGCUAGAAUGUUAUAGCAUGGAACGAAUAGAUUGACCUGAAUCAGUUUGUUGGUAAAAAGUUACGCAAGUAACUAACCUGAAACGGGUCCUGAUUAAAAGGGGCAUUUGAGGAUGUUAGUACUUGGUGGCGAGAGGUGAAAUUCUUAGACCCACCAAAGACUCACUAUUGCGAAGGCAUUCAUCAAGAAUGUUUUCAUUAAUCAAGAACGAAAGUUGGAGAAUCGAAGACGAUCAGAUACCGUCCUAGUUCCAUACAGUAAACUAUGCCAGCUUGAGAUUAGCUCGGUAAACGAGCCAAGUUGGUCUCUCCGUGAAAACAAGCUUUCGGGUUCCGGGGGGAGUACGGUCGCAAGUCUGAAACUUAAAGAAAUUGACGGAAGGGCACCACCAGGAGUGGAGCCUGCGGCUUAAUUUGACUCAACACGGGGCAACUCACCAGGUCCGGACAUUGAAAGGAUUGACAGACUGAUAGAUCUUUCAUGAUACAGUGAUUGGUGGUGCAUGGCCGUUCUUAGUUGGUGGAGUGAUCUGUCAGGUCUAUUCCGGUAACGAGCGAGACCACGAUCUCUAUUUUCUUUCAGUAGCAUUUGUCGUUCUACUGAGAAUAGAGAGACAACUAGUUCAAGCUAGGGGAAGCGUGGCAAUAACAGGUCUGUGAUGCCCUUCGAUGUUCUGGGCUGCACGCGCGCUACAAUGGCAGCGACAAAAAGCAUCACCUGCUCUGAGAAGAGUGGGAAAUCUUUAAAAUCGCUGUCGUGAUUGGGAUUGAGCCUUGUAAUAAUUGCUCAUGAAAUAGGAAUUCCUCGUAAGCGUGAGUCACCAACUCAUGUUGAAUACGUCUCUGCCCUUUGUACACACCGCCCGUCGCUACUACCGAUUGAAUGUCUCUUCGAGAAAGCGGGAUUGAUUUUUACGCAAGUAAGAGUCGAGAGCUCUUUCUAGAAGAUGCUUUGAGAGGAAGUAAAAGUCGUAACAAGGUUUCUGUAGGUGAACCUGCAGAAGGAUCAUUA
rfam:Ceratomyxa shasta 18S ribosomal RNA gene, partial sequence; internal transcribed spacer 1, 5.8S ribosomal RNA gene, and internal transcribed spacer 2, complete sequence; and 28S ribosomal RNA gene, partial sequence.